AGCGUCCUUAUCCUUUCCACCUGGGGGCUGCGGGGGCGGUGGGAAGCACAGGCCUUACCACCGAGAGGAUUCUGAGGCUCGUCAGGCUCUUGGGAGGAGUGUGUUAUUUCAAGGAAGAAGCAGUGCCAAUGUCUUAAAUGGGGAAAAAACACAUAUGGAAAUUGAAGCUGAUCAAAAUUAAGCAUCCAAGAUCUACUGUAUUUCUCCUUUGAGAAUUCAUAACAGCAACAGAUACUUUAGAUGUAAGGCCUGUUCAGAGGUCCCUCCCAGGUCCAACAUGCCAAGGCCUCCUUGUUGGACUCCUUGUGCAGCAGGAAGGAUCGUCAGUAUUUCUUACUGAACUAGUCUUUUUCUCCUAAGGUUCUGUCAAGCUAGACACUUUAAAAGGACACUUUUGAGAACGUGUAGAACAGGCAGAAAGAACCCAAGGUCUCCAAUAAUUAACAUACUUCCUCCCACUUGCUCUGAAGACGGAGACUGACGAAAUCUGGUAUAGGAUGAUGCAGCUAUCAGGGACAGGCCUAAAAGAGAGACUGAGAGCUGUGCAGCCGGGGCCGGAGUCGAUGUAUCAUAUCUCCCUCUGCUGGGAGGCACCGCAAUCGCUCAGCCGACUGUCGCCACCGGAGCUGCCUUCAGAAACAGCGAGGGCAACGCUCGCCUCAGGUCCCAACAAAUAGGAACUGACAGUAGGUCUCACCUUUUGUAUUUUUGCAGUGAAUUUCCAGAGAGAUAGAGAUUAAAAUGAUCAUGCUUA